rnacentral:rRNA from 1 species
GACGAACGCUGGCGGCGUGCUUAACACAUGCAAGUCGAACGGAAAGGCCCUGCUUUUGUGGGGUUCUCGAGUGGCGAACGGGUGAGUAACACGUGAGUAACCUGCCCUUGACUUUGGGAUAACUUCAGGAAACUGGGGCUAAUACCGGAUAGGAGCUCCUGCUGCAUGGUGGGGGUUGGUAAGUUUCGGCGGUUGGGGAUGGACUCGCGGCUUAUCAGCUUGUUGGUGGGGUAGUGGCUUACCAAGGCUUUGACGGGUAGCCGGCCUGAGAGGGUGACCGGCCACAUUGGGACUGAGAUACGGCCCAGACUCCUACGGGAGGCAGCAGUGGGGAAUAUUGCACAAUGGGCGGAAGCCUGAUGCAGCAACGCCGCGUGCGGGAUGACGGCCUUCGGGUUGUAAACCGCUUUCGCCUGUGACGAAGCGUGAGUGACGGUAAUGGGUAAAGAAGCACCGGCUAACUACGUG